GACGAACCGUACGAACGUUAUUCGGAAUCACUGGGCUUAAAGGGUGCGUAGGCGGCGCGACAAGUUGGGUGUGAAAUCCCUCGGCUCAACCGAGGAACUGCACCCAAAACUGUCGUGCUCGAGGGAGACAGAGGUGAGCGGAACUUAGGGUGGAGCGGUGAAAUGCGUUGAUAUCCUAAGGAACACCGGUGGCGAAAGCGGCUCACUGGGUCUCUUCUGACGCUGAGGCACGAAAGCUAGGGUAGCGAACGGG
rnacentral:rRNA from 1 species